rnacentral:rRNA from 1 species
UAGGGAAUCUUCGGCAAUGGGGGCAACCCUGACCGAGCAACGCCGCGUGAGUGAAGAAGGUCUUCGGAUCGUAAAGCCCUGUUGUAAGAGAAGAACGUGUGUGAGAGUGGAAAGUUCACACAGGGACGGUAACGUACCAGAAAGGGACGGCUAACUACGUGCCAGCAGCCGCGGUAAUACGUAGGUCCCGAGCGUUGUCCGGAUUUAUUGGGCGUAAAGCGAGCGCAGGCGGUUUAAUAAGUCUGAAGUUAAAGGCAGUGGCUUAACCAUUGCUCGCUUUGGAAACUGUUAAACUUGAGUGGAGAGGGGGAGAGUGGAAUUCCAUGUGUGGCGGUGAAAUGCGAAGAGAUAGGAGGAACACCGGUGGCGAAGGCGGCUGUCUGGUCUGUAACUGACGCUGAGGCUCGAAAGCGUGGGGAGCAAACAGG